rnacentral:rRNA from 1 species
AUAAGUAUAAACGACUUGAUCGUGAAACCGCGAACGGCUCAUUAUAACAGCUAUAAUUUACUUGACCUUGACAAUUUACUUGGAUAACUGUGGUAAUUCUAGAGCUAAUACAUGCACCAAAGCUCCGACUUCGGGAAGAGCGCAUUUAUUAGAACAAAACCAGGCGGCUUCGGCCGUACUCUGUUGACUCAGAAUAACUAAGCUGAUCGCAUGGUCUUGAACCGGCGACGUGUCUUUCAAGUAUCUGCCUUAUCAACUUUCGAUGGUAGUGUAUCUGACUACCAUGGUGUGACGGGUAACGGAGGAUAAGGGUUCGACUCCGGAGAAGGGGCCUGAGAAAUGGCCACUACGUCUAAGGAUGGCAGCAGGCGCGCAAAUUACCCACUCUCAGAACGAGGAGGUAGUGACGAGAAAUAACGAGAUCGUUCUCUUUUGAGGCCGAUCAUCGGAAUGGGUACAAUUUAAACCCUUUAACGAGUAUCUACGAGAGGGCAAGUCUGGUGCCAGCAGCCGCGGUAAUUCCAGCUCUCGAAAUGCAUAGAAUUAUUGCUGCGGUUAAAAAGCUCGUAGUUGGAUCUGUGCUGGCCGGUCGGUCCACCUUCGGGUGUGCACUGAUUUGGUCGGCUUUCUAGUUGGAUUUUCUCCUAGUGGGCUUCACUGUUCGCUUGGAGUGUCUAACGAGUUUACUUUGAACAAAUCAGAGUGCUUCAAACAGGCGUUUCGCUUGAAUGUUCGUGCAUGGAAUAAUAGAAGAGGAUUUCGGUUCUAUUUUAUUGGUUUUAUAGACUGAGAUAAUGGUUAACAGAGACAAACGGGGGCAUUCGUAUUGCUGCGUGAGAGGUGAAAUUCUUGGACCGUAGCAAGACGAACUACAGCGAAAGCAUUUGCCAAGAAUGUCUUCAUUAAUCAAGAACGAAAGUCAGAGGUUCGAAGGCGAUCAGAUACCGCCCUAGUUCUGACCGUAAACGAUGCCAACUAGCGAUCCGCCGGUGGUUUUUUUGCCCUGGUGGGGAGCUUCCCGGAAACGAAAGUCUUCCGGUUCCGGGGGAAGUAUGGUUGCAAAGCUGAAACUUAAAGGAAUUGACGGAAGGGCACCACCAGGAGUGGAGCCUGCGGCUUAAUUUGACUCAACACGGGGAAACUCACCCGGCCCGGACACCGUAAGGAUUGACAGAUUGAUAGCUUUUUCAUGAUUCGGUGGAUGGUGGUGCAUGGCCGUUCUUAGUUCGUGGAGCGAUUUGUCUGGUUUAUUCCGAUAACGAGCGAGACUCUAGCCUACUAACUAGUCCACACAUUGUCACUGUGUGCGCGACUUCUUAGAGGGAUUUUCGGUGUACAGCCGCACGAAAUUGAGCAAUAACAGGUCUGUGAUGCCCUUAGAUGUCCGGGGCUGCACGCGCGCUACACUGGCAAAAUCAGCGUGCUUGUCCUUCCCCGAAAGGGGUAGGUAAACCCUUGAAAAUUUGCCGUGAUUGGGAUCGGAAAUUGCAAUUAUUUUCCGUGAACGAGGAAUUCCAAGUAAGUGCGAGUCAUCAACUCGCGUUGAUUACGUCCCUGCCCUUUGU